CCUACGGGUCGCAGCAGUCGAGAAUCAUUCACAAUGGGGGAAACCCUGAUGGUGCGACGCCGCGUGGGGGAAUGAAGGUCUUCGGAUUGUAAACUCCUGUCAUGUGGGAGCAAAUUAAAAAGAUAGUACCACACGAGGAAGAGACGGCUAACUCUGUGCCAGCAGCCGCGGUAAUACAGAGGUCUCAAGCGUUGUUCGGAAUCACUGGGCGUAAAGCGUGCGUAGGCUGUUUCGUAAGUCGUGUGUGAAAGGCGCGGGCUCAACCCGCGGACGGCACAUGAUACUGCGAGACUAGAGUAAUGGAGGGGGAACCGGAAUGCUCGGUGUAGCAGUGAAAUGCGUAGAUAUCGAGAGGAACACUCGUGGCGAAGGCGGGUUCCUGGACAUUAACUGACGCUGAGGCACGAAGGCCAGGGGAGCGAAAGGGAUUAGAUACCCUAGUAGUC
rnacentral:rRNA from 1 species